AUUGAACGCUGGCGGCAUGCUUUACACAUGCAAGUCGAACGGCAGCGCGGGCUUCGGCCUGGCGGCGAGUGGCGAACGGGUGAGUAAUGCAUCGGAACGUGCCCAGUAGUGGGGGAUAGCCCGGCGAAAGCCGGAUUAAUACCGCAUACGACCUGAGGGUGAAAGCGGGGGACCGAAAGGCCUCGCGCUAUUGGAGCUGCCGAUGUCGGAUUAGCUAGUUGGUGGGGUAAAGGCUUACCAAGGCGACGAUCCGUAGCUGGUCUGAGAGGACGACCAGCCACACUGGGACUGAGACACGGCCCAGACUCCUACGGGAGGAAGCAGUGGGGAAUUUUGGACAAUGGGGGCAACCCUGAUCCAGCCAUGCCGCGUGCGAGAAGAAGGCCUUCGGGUUGUAAACCGCUUUUGUUCGGGAAGAAAUCCUCUGGGCUAAUACCCCGGGGGGAUGACGGUACCGGAAGAAUAAGCACCGGCUAACUACGUG
rnacentral:rRNA from 1 species